rnacentral:rRNA from 1 species
GAUGAACGCUGGCGGCGUGCCUAAUACAUGCAAGUUGAGCGAAUGGAUUAAGAGCUUGCUCUUAUGAAGUUAGCGGCGGACGGGUGAGUAACACGUGGGUAACCUGCCCAUAAGACUGGGAUAACUCCGGGAAACCGGGGCUAAUACCGGAUAACAUUUUGAACCGCAUGGUUCGAAAUUGAAUGGCGGCUUCGGCUGUCACUUAUGGAUGGACCCGCGUCGCAUUAGCUAGUUGGUGAGGUAACGGCUCACCAAGGCAACGAUGCGUAGCCGACCUGAGAGGGUGAUCGGCCACACUGGGACUGAGACACGGCCCAGACUCCUACGGGAGGCAGCAGUAGGGAAUCUUCCGCAAUGGACGAAAGUCUGACGGAGCAACGCCGCGUGAGUGAUGAAGGCUUUCGGGUCGUAAAACUCUGUUGUUAGGGAAGAACAAGUGCUAGUUGAAUAAGCUGGCACCUUGACGGUACCUAACCAGAAAGCCACGGCUAACUACGUGCCAGCAGCCGCCGUAA